UGGUCACGUGUUAGGUUUGAAUACAUUUAGAAAGUAUUUCAACAAUUACGCCAAGUACUUAAUGCGUUUCAAGUAAUGUAGGUUAUAUUUAAUGAAUUUCAAAACGUUUUAUUCGAUCUAUUAAAAAAAAGGAAUAUCUGUUAUUAACCCAAUACAUAAGACGAACACUUCCUGGAUUAAAGAAUGUAUAAGGCUCAUUUAGAAAGAACUAUUUUUCCUGUUAUUGUGGCAAUAACAGGUGUCGCUCUAAUUCUUCAACUGAUUGGUUAUUUUCUACCAUACUGGUAUAAAAUACGGGACAUGCAUUAUGGUUUAUGGAUGUCUAGAUCGUGUAGCCCAGAUUGCAGCUAUGUUUGGUAUUCAGACUCAGCUUCUGAUAUUCGUGGAUUUUUAAAAGGCAAUACUCUGAUGAUUAACCGCGGGUUUCAUACUACAGUCUUAAUUUUGGGUUUGAUUGGCUUGAUUGCUAGUUUAAUUCAGUUGGCAAAUAGAUCCAGCACUCCAUUAAUUAAAGGUUAUUCGCACACUGUCUUCUUUACAUCGACUUUAUUAGCAG